GAAUCUGCUCUGUGCAAAUGGUAUCGGCGAAGCAUUGUACAGAGC
rnacentral:ncRNA from 1 species